UACGUAUGGGGCGAGCGUUGUUCGGAAUUAUUGGGCGUAAAGGGCGUCUAGGCGGGAAAUUAAGUUAGGUGUGAAAGCUAUGGGCUCAACCCAUAAACUGCAUCUAAAACUGAUUUUCUUGAGUUCGGGAGAGGAGAGCGGAAUUCCAGGUGUAGCGGUGAAAUGCGUAGAUAUCUGGAAGAACACCAGUGGCGAAGGCGGCUCUCUGGCCUAGAACUGACGCUGAAGCGCGAAAGCGUGGGGAGCGAACAGG
rnacentral:rRNA from 1 species